rnacentral:rRNA from 1 species
UACGUAGGGGGCAAGCGUUGUCCGGAAUUAUUGGGCGUAAAGCGCGCGCAGGCGGUUCUUUAAGUCUGGUGUUUAAACCCGAGGCUCAACUUCGGGUCGCACUGGAAACUGGGGGACUUGAGUGCAGAAGAGGAGAGUGGAAUUCCUGGUGUAGCGGUGAAAUGCGCAGAUAUCAGGAAGAACACCCGUGGCUAAGGCGGCUCUCUAGUACGGUACUGACGCUGAGACGCGAAAGCGUGGGGAGCGAACAGG